CUUACAAUUUGAGAUUUUUUUUAAAAAUGUGCUAAAUGUUGAAACCAUCUCUAGUUGGGUUUUCUGUUGAAGACAACCCAAAGAGCUCUAAGUAAACAAAGAAUCAGAAUUUAAGUUCUCAUAAACUACACUCCACAAGGUGAUGCUUCAUAAAGUUCGGGCCUUUUUAAACUGGAGUCCGUAAGUAAGAAGAAUUCAGAUGCAAAAUAUCAGCGCUCCUUAGCAAGAAAAGCACCAGUACCUGAAAGAAUUUGUCCAUCUUUUGCCUG